GGGGGCGAACUAGAUUCGACGGGGAUGGACGGGGUGCCGGAUAGCGGGCCGAGCUCUGUGUCUCGUAAAACCGCAGGAAACAAUAACUGCCAACGAAUCAAACGACUCUUUCGAGUACGCUUUAGCUGCUUAAUCCCAGCUAACGUGGCCUAGCGAAGUGCCUGUCCUUCUCUAGUUCACGUAAAAUCAGGCAGGAUACCUCCCCAAAGGCCCGAGUGGGGACGGGAAACUUAGGGCUGGCCUCAAGUUGUCGCGCUUCGGACGGCGGCGUGAGGUGAGAUUAAUUCCGAAGCUACGCUCGUAGAAUUCCGGUAUGACGUGUCUUCGGACGGGACGGGCAGCACGUCCCCGCCUCCACCA
rnacentral:tmRNA from 1 species